GCGGCUGUGGCGGAAUUGGCAGACGCGCCAGGUUGAGGGCCUGGUGUCCUUUUUGGACGUGGUGGUUCGAAUCCACUCAGCCGCA
rnacentral:tRNA from 2 species